GUUGACUAUCACUAAGAUUGGUUCCAUUGCCUUCAAAAAAUCUGCCGGACAAAAAUCAUUGGAAGAAUAAGAAUAAUAAUAACAAAGAAACGGAGGAAAAGCAAUAUGUCACCCGACAUUGUCGAUCGGGUGACAUAACUAGAAUUGCCAUUGCAAGCAAUAGCGGAUGUCACCCUUCCCCCAUUGCCACUAAGCGGCAGCC
rnacentral:lncRNA from 1 species